rnacentral:rRNA from 1 species
AUUUAGUGGUGUACGGGUGAGUAAUAUUAGAAUAUGAAACAAAAGUAAGGGAUAAUUAAAAAAAUACCUUAUAUGGAAAGAUUAAUCGCUUUAUAUAGUGUUCUAAUAAGAUUAGAUAGUUAGUAAAGGUAAAAGUUUAUUAAGUCAAAGAUCUUUAGCUAUUUUGAGAGAAAGAAUAGUCACACUGGGAUUGGAACAAGGCCCAGACUUCCACGGGAGGCAGCAGUAGGGAAUAUUGGACAAUGGACGAAAGUUUGAUCCAGUAAUAUUGCAAGAAUGAUGACAAGUAAUUGUAAAAUUCUAAAAUCAAGGAUGAUAAUGACGGUACU